CAAAGCAAACCCCUUAAUUUACGUCACCUCAACGCAAGUAGAAAACGUCGCAGGGACUGCCACCAGCGAGGCUCCCGUUCACGUGGGGGCCCCAUGCGUUCGCUUGCACGAAUGCUGCGCCAAGGGAAACCGUGAGCCAUGAUGAUGACGGCGGGGAUGAUGGUGAUGGUCGUGAUGGUGUUACCUGUGCGUACAGAGAUGGCUCAUCUGACUCUGAUGGAAGGACAAGAUUUGAGACUGGCAUGUCAUUUCAGAGUGAACAACACGCUUGGGUCUUCUCUACGUUGGGAAUACAAAGCAACGGAUAUCCUGGGAAAAGCAGAAACUAUCGUAUUCUGCAACGAUGAAUUAAAUCCUCCCUGUUAUGUUCAGCAAUCAUUUUCACGAGUGGAGUUUUCUGGAGACUUGAAGAGGGGGAAUGGCUCCAUCACCAUCAAGAGAGUCACCCUCAAUGAUAGCGGCGUCUAUUCAUGUACAGUCAAUCAUGAGAAAGAUUUUUAUAAGACAAGGGUGGAGAUCUUGUAUACCACA